rnacentral:lncRNA from 1 species
GAGUGUGACCAGCUUAUAUUGGACUGAUAGUCCUUGUGCCGACAGUGAAGUCAAAAACGAUGCUGCUUGAAGGUGUAGCGAAAUGCCAGGUACCACGACAACUAGGUUUUUCCGAUAAGGGAAAUUUCAUUAAUCUUAGAUAGUUACAUCAAGGUGAUACAAAACCACAACAACUAGUUGGACCUGACAAGGUUUUCUCUGAUUUUUCUCGCAGCAUGGAAAAGAGCUGGCUGCAUGACUUCAAC